rnacentral:lncRNA from 1 species
GAAGAUUUAUUUCUAUCUAUUGCAUGGUUUGGAUUUAUUAUGGGUAGAUAAACAGAUGAUAUUUGUACAGUGAACACCAAAUCCCGUGGAAUCGAAGUACCUGGAUUUGGGGGUGUCACAGGUUGGUAUCAAAGCUGUAGGUUAUGAACCUUAGGUGGGGGAACAACCUUAGGUAGUAACCUUGUAGGAGAUUGAGAACAUAGUAG